rnacentral:rRNA from 1 species
UACGUAGGUGGCGAGCGUUGUCCGGAUUUACUGGGCGUAAAGAGCGCGCAGGCGGUCGUACAAGUCGGGCGUGAAAGCCCCUGGCUCAACUGGGGAGGGUCACGCGAUACUGUUCGACUUGAAGGCAGGAGAGGGAAGUGGAAUUCCCGGUGUAGUGGUGAAAUGCGUAGAUAUCGGGAGGAACACCAGUGGCGAAGGCGACUACCUGGCCUGUUCUUGACGCUGAGGCGCGAAAGCUAGGGGAGCAAACGGG